CCCUUAGAUGUUCUGGGCCGCACGCGCGCUACACUGACGGAGGCAGCGAGCAUGUCCUUCGCCGACAGGUCCGGGUAAUCUUUGAAUCUGCAUCGUGACGGGGAUAGAUUAUUGCAAUUAUUAAUCUUCAACGAGGAAUGCCUAGUAGGCGCAAGUCAUCAGCUUGCGUCGAUUACGUCCCUGCCCUUUGUACACACCGCCCGUCGCUCCUACCGAUUGGGUGUGCUGGUGAAAUGUUCGGAUCGGCCGUUUGUCGCGGUUUCCGCGUCAUGUGGCUGAGAAGUUCAUUAAACCCUCCCACCUAGAGGAAGGAGAAGUCGUAACA
rnacentral:rRNA from 1 species